rnacentral:rRNA from 1 species
GACGAACGCUGGCGGCGUGCUUAACACAUGCAAGUCGAGCGGUAAGGCCCUUUCGGGGGUACACGAGCGGCGAACGGGUGAGUAACACGUGGGUGACCUGCCUUUAGCUCUGGGAUAAGCCUGGGAAACCGGGUCUAAUACCGGAUAUGACUCCGCGGCGCAUGUUGUGGGGUGGAAAGCCUUGUGCGGCUGGAGAUGGGCCCGCGCCUAUCAGCUUGUUGGUGGGGUNAUGGCCUACCAAGGCGACGACGGGUAGCCGGCCUGAGAGGGCGACCGGCCACACUGGGACUGAGACACGGCCCAGACUCCUACGGGAGGCAGCAGGUGGGGAAUCUUGCGCAAUGGGCGAAAGCCUGACGCAGCGACGCCGCGUGA